GUGGCGGACGGGUGAGUAAUGUCUGGGAAACUGCCCGAUGGAGGGGGAUAACUACUGGAAACGGUAGCUAAUACCGCAUAACGUCUUCGGACCAAAGUGGGGGACCUUCGGGCCUCACACCAUCGGAUGUGCCCAGAUGGGAUUAGCUAGUAGGUGGGGUAACGGCUCACCUAGGCGACGAUCCCUAGCUGGUCUGAGAGGAUGACCAGCCACACUGGAACUGAGACACGGUCCAGACUCCUACGGGAGGCAGCAGUGGGGAAUAUUGCACAAUGGGCGCAAGCCUGAUGCAGCCAUGCCGCGUGUAUGAAGAAGGCCUUCGGGUUGUAAAGUACUUUCAGCGGGGAGGAAGGCGAUGUGGUUAAUAACCGCGUCGAUUGACGUUACCCGCAGAAGAAGCACCGGCUAACUCCGUGCCAGCAGCCGCGGUAAUACGGAGGGUGCAAGCGUUAAUCGGAAUUACUGGGCGUAAAGCGCACGCAGGCGGUCUGUCAAGUCAGAUGUGAAAUCCCCGGGCUUAACCUGGGAACUGCAUUUGAAACUGGCAGGCUUGAGUCUCGUAGAGGGGGGUAGAAUUCCAGGUGUAGCGGUGAAAUGCGUAGAGAUCUG
rnacentral:rRNA from 1 species